GGCAGGGGAAGUCUGCCCGUGACUUCUAAUCAAGGGGUAAAGAGCGUAACGCCUCUUCCUUGCCU
rnacentral:tRNA from 1 species